UGUCGUUUUGGAGUUAUUUAAAAGGAAAAACAAAAGAAAUUAAAAAGGAAAAAGAAACCUAAGUUAUAUACCCUCCUCAUCACCUUCAAUCUCUCUUUCUUCUCUCAAAGAAAAAGGUGAUAAAUCCUAAGUUCUUCUCUUUUGUUGUAGCAUCUAACUCCUCUGCUCAAGGCACUAGUUUUUUCGCGUUGCAUUGUUAAGAUCCUGUUCAGCAGUUCAUCGCCCCGCAACACACCGACUGCUCGCUCAUCGUUCGUUGUCGCUUUGUCGCCUGUUGUCCGUCGCCAACAUUCUUACUCUCUCUCCCUCGUACUAUGCUAAACCCGAAGGUAAUUUAGUUUUUCUUGUCUUUUUUUUUAUUUUUUUCAAAAUGAUUUAGUUAAAAUCGUUAAAUUGGGUUUAGUUGUGCACUAGGAAUAAUGGAUGCUACAUUUUGAGUUGGUGGCUUGAUUUUGAAUUGAUAAAUAUUUUCAUUUGGAUCAUCUGGGCUGGAAUUUAUUACAUUUCUUCGUAUCUUGUGUUGCGUUGUUUACUUUCUAUCUUGAUAUAAUAAUAACAACAAUGUAAGUUCUUACUACUCUAAUCUAUUCUCUUUGGCUACAUUUGGUUUUUAAAAUAGGACAAGAAAAAAUGCUAAGAACAUAACAUAAAGGACGGAAAUACAAAAUAUAAGAUAGAACAAAUAAUAAAAAGUUUAAUUUACCUUUAUUUUUUUUUCACGCAAAAUUUAGAAUAAAAAUAAAAUAAUAAAAAAUAUAAUUAUGAAAAUUUGAUAUGAUAAUAAAUGAAAAAAAAUUAUGUCACCGUUUAGUGUUUCUGUGCUCUUCCUGUUAGAAAGGACACAAAAUAUACUAAUUAAGUAUCUUAGGACACAAUGUCUUUGUCCAUGUCUCACAUUCCAAAUACGAUUUUGUGUUUCUGUGUCCAUGUCUAAUUGUCCUGUCUUUAUGAACAAAUGCAACCUUUAAGAACUGAGUUUUAUUCAUUCAUUCAUGUUCUUGUUUGUUGUGUCUAUCUUGAUGAGAUCAAUGGCGAAAUAAUGAGUGUUAAUAAUAGAGUAUUUAAUCAAAUUGGAACUCAAAAAAUUUCUAAGUGGGCGUUUUGGUCUCCAACAAAAAUUAAUUACUUAAUUAGUUCUCAGCAUUUUCUGGCAUAAGACAAACUGGUCAUUUUGGACUCAGCUCCAUUAACCACUAACAGAAUGAUCUGAUGUGUCACGUGAAGCUGCUGACUCAGCCAUUAAGUUCCACGUGUUUAAUAAGGACAAAUAUGUCCCUUGCCUGAAUGAUACACAAUGUAACAUUUUAGGACUAGGGCACGACGUUGUUUCAUUAGGAGAGGGUUUUUAAUAGAGUUCCUCUAGGGAGCCAAUGAGUUACCUAUAUAAUGGCUACAAUGGGCUGUUUGUUAGGCCCAAUAUGAAUUAAAAAUGAUGAUUAACCCCUUUUUAACCCUAAUUAACCUAAAUGCUUGUUCAGUUUUGUUUUAACCCCUAUUUUCAAAAUUUUCCCAAUUCCUUUAUUCUGAAUGGAAGGCCACGCUACCACCCAAAACCCCCAUUGUCAAAGCUGAACAUCCCGUCCCAAGCAGCCGUCGUGUGACCUUCGAACUGCAUCCCUGCCGCAUAGGACUUUAACGGACAACCUCCUUCGCGCACAAUCUCCGUUGCUGGCAGCAAUUGCUGGGCACACUGAUGGCUGAGCAUCCCCGUCCAAGGUGCCGCCUGACACAAAGCCUUCGCCGUGCGGCGCUGUCCUCGCUUGAAGCAAUCCGUGCGCUACGUCGCGGUUGAACUCCGGCCGCUCCGUCCCCGCGCGAUCUGGAGCCCUAAUCUCCGUCGACGCGACCUGCAUCACCCAACCUCAUUCGCGCUCGCCGUUCUGUGUCAGCCGGCGGCCUGGGACCUCCUCCUGCGUGACCAUUGGAUGGUUCAAACCUACCAUCAUCGACCUUUAUCGGUUAGUGGCUUGAUGUCUUUUCUCAUGAUUCCUAUUUCUGCUGUUUCUAGUGCUGUAUACUGUUUAUAUUACUGAGUUGCUAAAUUUCUGACAGUGAAAACCUCACUUUGUUGCAUGAUUAUUGUGUCGAAACUUGUUGAUUAAAAUUGUGAUGUGGAUGGUUGCUUUUGAUUUAAUUUUUUUGCUGGAAGAAAUGCAAAAGCUUGGUUCAAAUAUGCCCUUUUUAUUUUCCUUCGAUGUGUGGACCAUUGUUGAUAUCUAGUUGACACUGUGUAGAUGGUUACUUUAGCAGGUUAUUGGAUGGUUGUUUUCCAUCGACAAGCACCUAUUUGCUUAACGGGUUAUUAUUUUUUUUGUAGGGAUUUUGUUUUUUAUUUUCUUUUCCUGUUUAGCAAUUAAUCUUAGUAUCUGAGAACUAUUGUAUAUUCCCUGAGGAAGUGUAAUUGUAUAUUUUCCCAUCAAGUCGAGCUUCGUAUUGCAUAAGACAAUAAAUUGGAAAAUAGGUCUUAAUUUACUAUUUGAUCAUUGUUCAAUAUAACCUUGUUUCCUUGAUUUAUGAAGUGUGAUUUGUUUUUACUUUGCGGAUAUCCUGAUGUGCACAUGAUAAAUUAAAGUGUGAAUAUAUUGGUUAGUUUACCAAACCUUUGGAUGGUCGAUUUUGAUUAUGGUGAAUGCUAUUUUGAUCCUAGUACACUAUCAGCUUGUUUGAACGAGUUGCUGUUUAAUCGGUCUCUUGUUUUUGUAAGUAAGACAAUUCAUACAUGAUGCUAAUUAUAUUAACCUUGUAUUUAUUUUGGAAAAGUUCAAGUUAGAUGUUUAUUUUCACACAUACGACUAACUUUACUUUUAUUAUGACCAUAUCAAUAAGAUCAGUUGAAGACAUAUGAAUCUACAAAAGUCACCGAUUCGCUAUUGCUUUUUUGUUGUUUUUUUCUUCAAGUGGCUAUGUUCUGUUUCAAUAGGUCAUGGAAGUGUGGAUCAAAUCCUUUCAAUUCUCUAAUCACUAAUCUUCUAAUAAAGGUUGCUUUUUGCAUUAAAAAUUACCAUUCUUGCCGAAAAAACUGCUGAUCUAUAUCCUCGAAUUUUAAUGACGUAUAUAUCUUGCUAGUUUGAUGUAUGAUUCAUUAAAUACUCGAAAGAACAAUUUUAUAUGAGUAGCAAAUAUGAUUAGUCUUUUGUCCAUAUUUGGAUGGUUGAUUUUCAUAAAUGAGAAGUUUACUGUGUCGGUAUUCUGUGUGACUAUUGUGAUGUUUGAGGGUUGUCUUGUAUUUUAGUGAGAAACUGUGUACAUGGUCCAUAGACCGUAAUCCAAACUCGGAUAUGCAUACCUAGAUCGACGUGGAACAUAUGGUAAAUUCAAUGAAUAAUUGGAUGGUUGAAUUGCACUGAUUGCUUUGCUGUUUAGGUGUGCCAUAUUUUUGCUUUGUGUGAAUCUGAUUUACCUGCAGGAUUGUUAUGUUUAUAAUUGGCCGAGUCGGACUCUCAGACCACCUAAGUUAUUGCUGUGCACAUCCUUUCUCUUCCUCGGCCUUAUAAUCUUUUGAGUUUUAUUAGCUGGAAUAAUUACAGGAUUUUUUGCUCAUGUUAUCAUAAGUUUCAUCGGUUAAUUAUAAACUCAAUAGAAUCUUGCAUUAGAAUUCAGGUGACCUACUGCAUGAGUAAAAUUUCACGGUGCUCAACAAUCCAUUUCAUACCGUCCGAACGCAAAAUCAGAUGGGUAAAAAGGUAUCACAUUGUUUACAUGAUUGAAAUAAGAUGUUUGAUUAUAUGUUGUGACGUCAUUCUUUUCUUAAUUUUUUCUCAACAGAAAUUAGUCGAGACGCGAUGCUCACCUUGCUACAUCAACAACUUGUUUUCCCACUUGGAACUACAUAAUGAGGACGCUAAGUUGGCUGAGCUUGAGGCUAUUGGAUUUGGUUUUCUGCGGCGGGUACCGCUAUGGCAUGUGAAGCAGAGCAUCAUGCUUCAACUUGCGAGGGCCUAUGACAUGGAAUCAAACACUCUCAGGGUCAACGCAGGGGACAUCCACAUUACCGCCGAACUGAUCAGCAGGGGGACCAAUCCCGGAACUGUAGAAGAAAAAUGUAUCCCAUUUGGCACUUAAGAGACAGUUCCAGAUGAAAACAACAACACAACUGCGGGACUUUGUCUUUGCCUGUCCAAUGGAGAUCGAGCAACAAAGGAUGGCUUUUAAACGAUACUUUAUCCUCGUGGUUUUGAAGAUGUUUCUUUGCCCUACAAGCCAGCAGACUAUUUUCCCAUGGCACCUCCCUCCGAUUUUGGAUGUCUCGAACCCAAGAAGAUUUCACUGGCCGUAUUAGAUAUUAAAGUGGUUGCGAGAUGCAAUAAGAAAAUUCCAAAAUGAGAACCAGGAAAUAUGUGGCGGGUGUAUGUUCGUGUUGCUGGUAUCGCCAAUAAUUUACCUAAAUUUCUACUACAUGUACGUCUUAAGUUGUAAAUCCUAACAUUUGAAUUACUUGUAUCCAGGUUCUGUACUUUCAGCGCUUAAAGCAUGGUCGGUUACAUGCAUGUCAAGCACCCGAGCCUUGGAUUGAUGAAUGGACUGCUAAUGAACUUGAUAAGAAGGCCGACCAUGUUAUUUCACAGGCUGUAUAUGAUUAACACCGGGUCAGUGGUCAUUAAGCUCCUCUGCUUCAGAUCAAACGCUGGGUCAGCGGUCAUCCAAUCUGAACGGGGUGAAGCCCCAUAGACAAAGUCGGAUCUUACGGAUUAGAGAAUGCUGCUCCUUUGGUUCUAGCCUAUACUACAAAGGCCCUAAUCACCCCGCACCUCUGCUGCACUGAUGUCUCGAGAAGUACCCAAUGAAGCCGUAGAUU